rnacentral:lncRNA from 12 species
UACUCAAAUUUCUUCCUUUAGACCAGAGACAAGCUGAGGAACAAAUUCCCAAAGCCAGUGAAAUGAAAACAAGAUCCUUUUCAAUAUGAUCUGAAUUUUGAAUGUGGUGGAUGUUAAGAAAAAAAAGAACAGUGCCUACAAUAGGAGGAACAAAGGCUGAUCAAGGAAAGAAGGAAAAGUAGAGAGAAUACGUUAUUGAAGGAAGGACAAGAAAAGCAAACAGGUGUUCAACAAAACUCUCUAUUUCAUCUGUGGAUUCUAGAUCAUGACACUGAAGCCUGCUUCUUCAGGGACACAGGUAGGAAUGGGAAGAGAGCAAUG